ACGCUGGCGGCGUGCCUAACACAUGCAAGUCGAACGGUAACAGUCCUUCGGGAGCUGACGAGUGGCGCACGGGUGAGUAACGCGUGGAUAUCUGCCUAUUAGUGGGGGACAACUACAGGAAACUGUAGCUAAUACCGCAUAAUCUCUACGGAGGAAAGCAGGGGACCUUUCGGGGCCUUGCGCUGAUAGAUGAGUCCGCGUCUGAUUAGCUAGUUGGUAAGGUAAUGGCUUACCAAGGCGAUGAUCAGUAACUGGUUUGAGAGGAUGAUCAGUCACACUGGAACUGAGACACGGUCCAGACUCCUACGGGAGGCAGCAGUGGGGAAUAUUGCACAAUGGGGGAAACCCUGAUGCAGCGACGCCGCGUGCGGGAAGAAGGCCUUCGGGUUGUAAACCGCUUUCAAUUGGGAAGAAGAGAUGAGUAUUAAUAAUGCUCUGAUUUGACGGUACCUUUAGAAGAAGCACCGGCUAAUUUCGUGCCAGCAGCCGCGGUAAUACGAAAGGUGCAAGCGUUGUUCGGAUUUACUGGGCGUAAAGAGAUCGUAGGUGGUUUAUUAAGUCGGAUGUGAAAUCCCGGGGCUCAACCCCGGAACUGCAUUCGAUACUGAUAGGCUAGAGUUUGGGGAGGGGUAAGCGGAAUUCCGUGUGUAGCAGUGAAAUGCGUAGAUAUACGGAGGAACACCUGAGGCGAAGGCGGCUUACUGGACCAAUACUGACACUGAGGAUCGAAAGCGUGGGUAGCAAACAGAUUAGAUACCCUGGUAGUCCACGCCCUAAA
rnacentral:rRNA from 1 species